rnacentral:lncRNA from 1 species
CUGACAAUUGACAUGGCCUCUUUUUGUUUAAAAUCAUUAGGCCCAAAUCAAUUAAUCAUGGUCCAUGGUUUUUUUCCCAAAUCAAGUCCAAAUCCAAUACUCCAAUCCAAUUUCAAAUUCGUAAAAGGGAAACCUGAGGCUGAAGUGUUUGAAAGCCUGAAACCGACAGCAAACCCUUCCCCAAUUCCAUAAUUUCCAUUCGAAGCAAAAGCAACAGCUGCGCCUGCGAUUUGUGCAAAGUUCGAGCUACGAAUGAUGGUCACUACUUUGCUGUUAGCUCUUGCUGCUGCUGACGCGACCCCAUGGGCGAGGCGCUGAGGAAGAGGAUAAGGAGUCACCGUCGACGACGUCUUUCUUCGAGCAGCCUACAGGUGAGCGUGCAUUUCUCUUAUUCUCUUUCUCUAUUGUUUUUCUUUUUGUUUUCUUAAGGAAACCAAAUAUUUCCCUAAAAUGGAAUUAAUUAUCUGCAGUUAAGUAAUAGUAAUAAGAGUUUGACGUGUAUAACAAUAUAAGGAAAGGGAAAUAAAAAAGUGAAAGAGAGAGGGGCUGUAAAGGAUCGACGACAUGGAAGUUGGAACUAUGUUAUUGGUUUUGAAUUUUGCUUACUGAAUUCUUAUAUUGAAUUGAACUCUAAUUCGAAAUGAAUUCUACCUUUGAAGCUUAAAAUUACUAAUUAAUACAUGAAAUUAGAAC